GACAAGACUAGUCAUACUGACCCAAUACGCACCUCAUAGAUCCUUUGAGGGCUGUCAAGUACCAGAUUAACAAUUGUUUCUUCCCCGGAAGGUAUCAGAAUCAGAGGUUCCUGCUACUCAUUUUUCUUUCCAUGCCCCUUGGCAAACGUUAUCCUACCUGACCGUUUGAUCUCUUCUUCUUUUUUGUUUUCGGUUCAGGCGUUUCUUG
rnacentral:lncRNA from 1 species